CCCUGUGCCCGGCCCACUUCUGCUUCCUCUUAGCGCAGGAGGGGUCCCGCACUGGGAG
rnacentral:pre_miRNA from 1 species